UGUUUCUGCCUUCAAAUCAUAUAAAUCUUUCGCCUUUUACUAAAGAUUUCCAUGGAGAGGAACAUUUACGAGUUUCUACCCAAUUUUUUUUGUUUGUUUACUAUAUACAUAC
rnacentral:snRNA from 1 species